UCCAAAUCUAUCUCGGUUUCCUGCAGUGGCUCUUCCGUGUGCAUUACCUUUCCUUCAAUGUCUUUGGCUUAUGAUGACUGAUGAGGUAAAUUCAGCGUAGUGCUUGGGUCACUCACUAUAUCAUGAAUAAUUCAAAUAAAACAAAGGUGUUGUGUCACGUUGACACUGCCUGUCGUAACCAUAGACUAUAUGUCUAUGGUCGUAACUGUUUGUAACCCUUCCCAUGACUAUUAAUAUGAAUAUGGUGACGCGCACCCGUUUUAUUGUACGUAUUCAUGAGAUUGUGAACGAACGCUUACGUAAUGGUUACGAUGAGCCUCGUAUCCGUGGAAACGAGCGCGCGAUUUUUUUUUUCCUGAAGUUUAGAGGAGGAACCAACACUCUGUAUCCUACCCUCGAAAUCUUCACAAGAAGAACCUUCAAUCAGGACUCAGGAGCUUAUUAGUCGGAAGCUUCUUGUCAGCCUGUUUAAGGGAGACCCAGGUGUUCAGCAUGGAAGCCCGAAGUCUGGCCCAGACCAAAUGGUCAUUUAGACCUAGGAUCUGAGCUGCGAACUGAGCAGCAGCUUCAGGAGAAAGAACCGUGGAGCAGCCCAGACCUGAAAGAGCAUGCGAAGAGAUGACCAGAUGUCCUGAGCCCCCCAGUCAGGGGUAAUUGGGGGACAGUUAAUAACCGGAUAUGCAGUGUUUCCUGACAUCACGGGACCCAAGCCAUUACUUCUGCCUGCCACGGCAACAAAGAUGGUGGGAAUUCCAUCACCUGAGGAGAAAAACAUUGAUUAAUUAAAUCAGUUAUUACAUUAUGCAAUAAAUUCAUUAUACUAAA